rnacentral:pre_miRNA from 1 species
UCUCAGUUGCGGGAUUUUGGGGGCAAGAUGUGUUUUUUUUUUUAAAUCCAACUGGCCCGCAAAGUCCCGCUUCUGGUG